CGACGAUAUGUUGGGAACUAGUGGAUAAAAAUAUUUGUACAAAAUUUUGUUGACAAAAUGGUAUACUUACUCUCACAAAAGUAAUGGACCUCACGUGAAUUUAAAAAAUGUUGGCUUGUGAUCCCCAUUUCUAUUGUGAGUAGUGAGUAAGGGAGUUUGUAAAAAAAAAAAAAAAUUUGUACAUGUAACAUGAUCCUGGACUAAUACUGCAACUUUUCCCAUUUAGUAAAGCAAAUUGAGAGUAGUGUUACAGGGAUAUAGUAACCCUAUGGUUAUCCACAAAAAUGUACAAAAGAAGGAAGUUCCCGUUUCUCCGAGUCCAUCAACUCUAUAAGUCGGUUCUCCAACUCAGUAGCUGUCAUGAAACCGUUGGCAGACUCAGUUAAACCCAAUGCCACCUUCACAUUCUUUGCUCUGCUUAGAGUGGCCAAGAGACACCCGCGCAAAUAGCCUCUAGAAUUGAGUUCCAACCGUAAUGUGUCACAAAUCCGCCACUUGCUGAGCCCAUGAAUUUACCACCAGCCCCUCUAUCUUUACUUUCCAAGAAACCUAUUGAAGACAAAAUCUAAAUAAAUAAACGUUAAAUACGAUAGUUAACUUUGUAGUGUAACGGAUAAUCAAGUCUUGUUGUUCUCAUUUCCUGAAAAUCGACCCACCAAUUUAUUAUAAAUUAUUCAAAUAUUUGUCUUUGACAGGAAAAAUUUAAUUCAACCACUGUAGGGAGGUGAAUAUUACAAGUAAUUAAACUUUUAAACGAAAGAAAACCUUGUGGCAGCAACGCAUCCAAGUCUGGCUCUACUGGUUGAGUAUUGGUUUUGUCAUCCGCGGGUGGAUUACGCACUACCCAAACAACCCUGUGGCCGCUAUUUUCCAACCAGCGGCCAUCUCCGCCAGCUGCACCGCCGUGAACAAUCACAUACUUCCAAAACACAGAAAAAUAAUACUUUUACUGGGCUGUAACUUUAACCAAUUCAAACACUCAUGUUCAGCACUUUUACGGUCUCCAUCAUUGCUUGCAAUCAGAGGUCCAAUAAAGUAUAAAGGAGGCAUUGGUCCAUUUGGGAUUGUUGUGUUUCGAACCUGGAUCAUCCAUUGUUAAAGGCGUGCUUUGAAAAUCUGUAAAAAUAUUCGUCCAGGGAAGGUAUGAUAGUAAGUGAAUGAAAAGGAAAUUUUAGGAAUAAG
rnacentral:lncRNA from 1 species